rnacentral:rRNA from 1 species
UGGGGAAUCUUGGACAAUGGGCGCAAGCCUGAUCCAGCCAUGCCGCGUGAGUGACGAAGGUCUUCGGAUUGUAAAGCUCUUUUAGCAGGGAAGAUAAUGACGGUACCUGCAGAAUAAGCCCCGGCUAACUUCGUGCCAGCAGCCGCGGUAAUACGAAGGGGGCUAGCGUUGUUCGGAAUUACUGGGCGUAAAGCGCACGUAGGCGGAUUGAUAAGUUAGAGGUGAAAUCCCGGGGCUCAACCUCGGAACUGCCUUUGAUACUGUUAGUCUCGAGUCCGAUAGAGGUGAGUGGAAUUCCUAGUGUAGAGGUGAAAUUCGUAGAUAUUAGGAAGAACACCAGUGGCGAAGGCGGCUCACUGGAUCGGUACUGACGCUGAGGUGCGAAAGCGUGGGGAGCAAACAGGAUUAGAUACCCAUGUAGUCCCUGAGCGGGCUGGCAAGGCGCAU